UACGAAGGGGGCUAGCGUUGCUCGGAAUCACUGGGCGUAAAGCGCACGUAGGCGGCUUGUUAAGUCAGGGGUGAAAUCCUGGAGCUCAACUCCAGAACUGCCUUUGAUACUGAAGAUCUUGAGUCCGGGAGAGGUGAGUGGAACUGCGAGUGUAGAGGUGAAAUUCGUAGAUAUUCGCAAGAACACCAGUGGCGAAGGCGGCUCACUGGCCCGGUACUGACGCUGAGGCACGAAAGCGUGGGGAGCAAACAGG
rnacentral:rRNA from 1 species